rnacentral:rRNA from 1 species
AUCCGGGUUGCGGACAGUGUCUGGUGGGUAGUUUGACUGGGGCGGUCUCCUCCUAAAGAGUAACGGAGGAGCACGAAGGUUGGCUAAUCCUGGUCGGACAUCAGGAGGUUAGUGCAAUGGCAUAAGCCAGCUUGACUGCGAGCGUGACGGCGCGAGCAGGUGCGAAAGCAGGUCAUAGUGAUCCGGUGGUUCUGAAUGGAAGGGCCAUCGCUCAACGGAUAAAAGGUACUCCGGGGAUAACAGGCUGAUACCGCCCAAGAGUUCAUAUCGACGGCGGUGUUUGGCACCUCGAUGUCGGCUCAUCACAUCCUGGGGCUGAAGUAGGUCCCAAGGGUAUGGCUGUUCGCCAUUUAAAGUGGUACGCGAGCUGGGUUUAGAACGUCGUGAGACAGUUCGGUCCCUAUCUGCCGUGGGCGCUGGAGAAUUGAGGGGGGCUGCUCCUAGUACGAGAGGACCGGAGUGGACGCAUCACUGGUGUUCGGGUUGUCAUGCCAAUGGCACUGCCCGGUAGCUAAAUGCGGAAGAGAUAAGUGCUGAAAGCAUCUAAGCACGAAACUUGCCCCGAGAUGAGUUCUCCCUGACUCCUUGAGAGUCCAGAAGGAACGUUGAAGACGACGACGUUGAUAGGCCGGGUGUGUAAGCGCAGCGAUGCGUUGAGCUAACCGGUACUAAUGAACCGUGAGGCUUAACCUUACAACGCCGAAGCUGUU